GAUGAACGCUGGCGGCGUGCCUAAUACAUGCAAGUCGAGCGAACAGACGAGGAGCUUGCUCCUCUGACGUUAGCGGCGGACGGGUGAGUAACACGUGGAUAACCUACCUAUAAGACUGGGAUAACUUCGGGAAACCGGAGCUAAUACCGGAUAAUAUAUUGAACAGCAUGGUUCAAUAGUGAAAGACGGUUUUGCUGUCACUUAUAGAUGGAUCCGCGCCGCAUGAGCUAGUUGGUAAGGUAACGGCUUACCAAGGCAACGACGCGUAGCCGACCUGAGAGGGUGAUCGGCCACACUGGAACUGAGACACGGUCCAGACUCCUACGGGAGGCAGCAGUAGGGAAUCUUCCGCAAUGGUCGAAAGCUUGACGGAGCAACGCCGCGUGAGUGAUGAAGGUCUUCGGAUCGUAAAACUCUGUUAUUAGGGAAGAACAAAUGUGUAAGUAACUAUGCGCGUCGUGACGGUACCUAAUCAGAAAGCCACGGCUAACUACGUG
rnacentral:rRNA from 1 species